rnacentral:rRNA from 1 species
UAUUGAACGCAUAUUGCGGCCACGGGUCCGUCCUGUGGCCACGCCCGUCUGAGGGUCGGCGACGUUAUACCCAUCGCUGGAAGGCUCUGGUCCAGCGCCUUGAGCUUUCGUAGCCGUAGGGCUCCGUGGCUUGAAAUGAAGACCGUGAAAGAAAAAGUCGUCCUCCUCAUCGCUCACAAGUCCUCAUGCGAGCAAAGGACAUGGCCCGGAUGAAACUGUCUUUGCGAGCGCGCGAGAGCGGUGAAAAGGAAGCGAUCCUAUUUCCGACCUCAGAUCGGACGAGAUUACCCGCUGAAUUUAAGCAUAUCAC